GGGCCGCACAAGCGAGAACAUGUGGUUUAAUUCGAUGAUACGCGAGGAACCUUACCCGGGCUUGAACUGCAGCGGAAGGAUACAGAGAUGUUGACGUCCUUCGGGACCGCUGUGGAGGUGCUGCAUGGUUGUCGUCAGCUCGUGCCGUGAGGUGUCGGCUUAAGUGCCAUAACGAGCGCAACCCUUUUCAUCAGUUGCCAUCAGGUGAUGCUGGGCACUCUGGUGAUACUGCCACCGUAAGGUGUGAGGAAGGUGGGGAUGACGUCAAAUCAGCACGGCCCUUACGUCCGGGGCUACACACGUGUUACAAUGGGGCAUACAGAAGGCGGGACCAUGGCAACAUGGUUCAAAUCUUUAAAGUGCUCCUCAGUUCGGAUUGGGGUCUGCAACCCGACCCCAUGAAGCUGGAUUCGCUAGUAAUCGCGCAUCAGCCAUGGCGCGGUGAAUACGUUCCCGGGCCUUGUACACACCGCCCGUCAAGCCAUGAAAGCCGGGGGCGCUUGAAGUCCGUGACCGUAAGGAUCGGCCUAGAGCGAAACUGGUAAUUGGGGCU
rnacentral:rRNA from 1 species